rnacentral:rRNA from 1 species
AACGAACGCUGGCGGCAGGCCUAACACAUGCAAGUCGAGCGAGACCUUCGGGUCUAGCGGCGGACGGGUGAGCAACGCGUGGGAACGUGCCCUUUGCUACGGAAUAGCCCCGGGAAACUGGGAGUAAUACCGUAUGUGCCCUUCGGGGGAAAGAUUUAUCGGCAAAGGAUCGGCCCGCGUUGGAUUAGGUAGUUGGUGGGGUAAUGGCCUACCAAGCCGACGAUCCAUAGCUGGUUUGAGAGGAUGAUCAGCCACACUGGGACUGAGACACGGCCCAGACUCCUACAGGAGGCAGCAGUGGGGAAUCUUAGACAAUGGGGGAAACCCUGAUCUAGCCAUGCCGCGUGAGCGAUGAAGGCCUUAGGGUUGUAAAGCUCUUUCAGAUGGGAAGAUAAUGACGGUACCACCAGAAGAAGCCCCGGCUAACUCCGUGCCAGCAGCCGCAGUAAGAC